UUCGGUCUGGACGGGAGACAGGUGGUGCAUGGUUGUCGUCAGCUCGUGUCGUGAGAUGUUGGGUUAAGUCCCGCAACGAGCGCAACCCUACUUUUACGUUGCCAGCACUUCGGGUGGGCACUCUAGAGGAACUGCCGGUGACAAACCGGAGGAAGGUGGGGAUGACGUCAAAUCAUCAUGCCCCUUAUGUUCUGGGCUACACACGUGCUACAAUGGCCGGUACAGAGGGCUGCGAAGGAGCGAUCCGGAGCCAAUCCCAAAAAGCCGGUCUCAGUUCGGAUUGUAGGCUGCAACUCGCCUACAUGAAGUCGGAAUCGCUAGUAAUCGCGGAUCAGCAUGCCGCGGUGAAUACGUUCCCGGGCCUU
rnacentral:rRNA from 1 species